CCCAGCCCCAGCUCCAGCCCCUGUACCAGCUCCAGCCCUUCUACCAGCCCCAGCUCCAGCCCCAUGUACCAGCCCCAGCUACAGCCCCUCUACCACCAGCCUCCAGCUGCAGCCCCUGUACCAGCCCCUGUACCAGCUUCAGCCCUUGUACCAGCCCCAGCUCCAGCCCUUGUACCAUCCCCUGUCCCAGCCCCAGCUCCAGCCCUUGUACCAGCCCCAGCUCCAGCCCUGUCCCAGGAGAUGGAGGGUGUAAGAAGCCAGACAAACCUGGGGGGUGUAAGAUGCCAGACAAACCUCUGGGGGGAGAGAAGAUGUUCAAGAAAGCGAAGGCAGAAAUGCAGCAGAUGAUCUAGGAGCAACUGGGGAACGUUAAGGAGAUCAAACACUCUGUGGAGCUCAGCAAGAGUAGAGCAGACAGCGAGCGAGAGAUCAGUUUGAAGUCCGUCAGCGAUAUGAAGCUCUUAAUUGAGAUGAGCCCGACUGAGCUCAUAGAGAUCAAGGGGAAUCAAAAAGCAGCAGAGAGGCGGGCUGAAGGGUUCAUCAAAGAACUGCAGCAGGAAAUCACUGAGCUACACACACACACACCACACACGCACACACACAGCCUUUGUGUAGCCUGACAUGUUCAACAUCUUACCUGUCCAUUUAGGAUUAGACUAAUUCACUCAGGCGUUUGUUUAUACUAGUAAUUUAUGCAAAGGUACAUUACUGUGGGUGCGUGUUCCCGCGUUUGUGUGUGUGUGCGUGCAUGCGUCCAGCUCCUCAGUAAAGUCUAAAAGACUAGGUGCAUAGGUGCUUGUGCACGUGUUUGCAUCUUGCACUUUGUAUUUGAACAGGUAGGAGGCUUCAAUAUUGGCUGUGUGUUAAGCUGUGUACAGCAGUAUGAACCUUGUGUUGUUGUGGUUCUUGGCAGUAACAUCCUGUGAGAGGUUGAUGUCAGCCAAGCUAUAGCACUCUCUCCUGCUCUCUCAUUUUCUCUGUCUCUCUAUCCCUGUUUCUCUCUCUCUCCCUCCUACACAUAUUAUCUGGAGGUGGGUGAUAAAAGAGAGAGAAAGAGAGAGGGAGAGAGAGUGAGGGGGAGAGAGGGGGGAGAGAGAGAGAGAGUGUGAGAGAGAGAGGGGGGAGAGAGAGAGAUUGAAAGAGAGUGGGAAAGUGAGAGAGGGCAAGGGAUCAAGAUCUGAGAUCGCGAUAACCCAGCACAGUCUUGGGAGAGAGAGAGAGAGAGAGAGAGAGAGAGAGAGAGAGAGAGAAAAGGAGAGCAAGACAGAGGAUAAAUAGAAUAACCAUGUGUGAAGAGGGUGAGAGGAAGGUGGAGAUAGAGGGUGGAGGGAAGGGGUGGAGAUAGAGGGUGCAUUCCAGCCGGUGUCUAUUCCACAAAUUACCACCAGCUAAAUCUAUGACUUUAAAAUGCCUAUUUACUCUGUUCCAUCGGAGGCUGACGACAACGAAGCAGAGAAUCUUCACUUGUAAACCCACGCACACACACACACACACACACACACACACACACACACACACACACACACACACACACACACACGCGCACACACACACGCGCACACACACACGUGCUGGUGAAUACGAAGAAAUACUCUUGUUAAUGCUGGAUGAUCCCUGACCUCCACCUUCUUGACUUGAUGACUUAAUGACCUUUAACCUGUUGUGGUUCCAGGAAAUGAACUGGCUCUUGUGCUCGUCAUAGUCUCUGUCAUUAGGCUACAUGCUAAAUACCCAAUACUCUCUCUAUUUUCUCACUCUUUCUUUACCCCCCCUCUCCUUCUCUAACUCUUUCUGUCUCUCUCUUUCUCUCUCUCUUUCUCUCUCUCUCCUUCUCUAACUGUCUCUCUCCUUCUCUAACUCUCUCUCUCUCUCCUUCUCUAUCUCUCUCUCUCUCUCUCUCUCUCUCUCUCUCUCUCUCUUCUCUCAGGCAUCUCUCCUCUUGUCUCCUUUAUUCCUGUGUGUUCAUCUCUCACCCCAUUAGGUGAUCCAAAAUAUCACCCUAUUCUUAACAUAGUGGACAGAGAGCCCUAUGGCCCCUGGUCAGAACUAGGCCACUAUAUAUGGAUAGGAUGCAAUUUGGGAUGUAGGCUAGGAGCUACCAGACAAACCCCCAGACUGAUUUAGACCAAAAUGUCUGUCUGAGCUUCCUUACUGGCAAGUUGUCCUCAAACUGUGUGUGUGUGUGUGUGUGUGUGUGUGUGUGUGUGUGUGUGUGUGUGUGUGUGUGUGUGUGUGUGUGUGUGUGUGUGUGUGUGUGUGUGUGUGUGUGUGUGUGUGUGUGUGUGUGUGUGUGUCUGUCGGUGUGUGUGUCUGUCUGUGUGUGUGUCUGUCAGUGUGUGUCUGUCUAUCUGUCGGUGUGUCUGUCUGUCUGUGUGUCUGUCUGUCUGUGUGUCUGUCUGUCUGUGUGUCUGUCUGUCUGUGUGUCUGUCUGUCUGUGUGUCUGUCUGUCUGUGUGUCUGUCUGUCUGUGUGUCUGUCUGUCGGUGUGUCUGUCUGUCUGU
rnacentral:lncRNA from 1 species